GCUGGAGUAGCUCAGUUGGUAGAGCAGCUGAUUCGUAAUCAGCAGGUCGCGUGUUCGAGUCACGUCUUCAGCUCCA
rnacentral:tRNA from 1 species